rnacentral:RNase_P_RNA from 2 species
ACAGGGGGCUGGAUGGCCGCGGGGUAACCCGAGGAAAGUCCGGACUCCACAAGGCAAUGGUGCCGGGUAACGCCCGGCUGGGGUAACCCAAGGGAUAGCGCCACAGAGAAGAAACCGCCCUGCGCGUCAGGGUAAGGGUGAAACGGUGGAGUAAGAGCCCACCGCGGGACUGGCAACAGAACCGGCACGGCAAGCCCCACCAGGAGCAAUGCCAAAUAGGGACCGCGCGUGGGCAACCACAGGGGAGCUUUGCCCCGAGCAGGUCCGGGUUGGCAGCUAGAGGGCGCUUGGCAACAGGCGCUCAAGAUGAAUGGUCAUCCAAAGAGGGCAACCUCUUGGACAGAAUCCGGCUUAUAGGCCCCCUGUGUAA